CCUACGGGAGGCAGCAGUGGGGGAUAUUGCACAAUGGGGGGAACCCUGAUGCAGCGACGCCGCGUGGGGGAAGGCGGGUUUCGGAGCGUAAAGCUCUAUCGUCUGGGAAGAAGAUGACGGUAGCUGACGAGGAAGCUCCGGCUAACUACGUGCCAGCAGCCGCGGUAAUACGUAGGGAGCGAGCGUUAUCCGGAUUUACUGGGUGGAAAGGGUGCGUAGGCGGGAAAGCAAGUCAGAAGUGAAAUCCCUGGGCUUAACCCAGGAACUGCUUUUGAAACUGUUUAUCUUGAGUAAAGUAGGGGUAGGCGGAAUUCCGGGUGUAGCGGUGAAAUGCGUAGAGAUCGGGAGGAACACCAGUGGCGAAGGCGGCCUACUGGACUUUAACUGACGUUGAAGCACGAAGGCGUGGGGAGCAAACAGGAUUAGAUACCCCUGUAGUC
rnacentral:rRNA from 1 species